CAGUGAAUCAUCGAAUCUUUGAACGCACAUUGCGCCCGCCAGUAUUCUGGCGGGCAUGCCUGUCUGAGCGUCAU
rnacentral:rRNA from 1 species